GUGCAGUAAGAUUCAUGUCAAGCUCCCGAUGAGGUGUCCACUGUAAGAUCUCUAUGUUUCCUUCAUGAUGACUUGGAGAAAAAAAAGCACAUCCAAAUAGUUCUCCAUCUAUUCCAUCUCAAAAUGACUGCGCAAACAAAGGGAGAGGCAAUGCUGUUUGGAGGUCUUCCUCUUGGGCCUUGCACGAUGGAAAUGAUUUGACUGGAUGCCUAAUUUCAGUUAAAGUCAGACUGCUUUAUAGAAGACAAAACCAGCAAGAGCCAGGCUGUUGUCCAAGAGGUGUUCACAUGCAGGUGGCUGCAGCAGAGAGCUUAAUGGUGGUGCACAGUGUUUCUUUUUUAAUACUGGGAAACUUUAUCCAGUAAGGAGGGCCUGCAGUAUUCCAAUCUGUGAACUCUUAAGUGCUUUCACUAGAGAGCUGCAAGUCAAACAAGUAACUUCCUUAAUUGGGAUGGUUUUGGAACAGGCCAGUGAAAGAGUUACGUCCCUGGUGAGUCGAGAAAGCUGUCCCCUACUGAGUCAUCUUCUGUUCACCUGAGCUGAAUCAUCUCCUGUGCAUCUGUUUGUAUCUUCUCCUACUUAAUCUAGAGGCUGUGCCUGGACUACAGGACCACAGUCCUUUGUCUCCUGUGUGCUCGGGAAAUACUCUCUAGCUCAUCUCUGGACUGCAGAAGAGGGGAUUCCCUUCCCCUGGAAAGCAGGGCACAGGGAGGUCCGGACCACAAGCACGGCUUGCCUCAGCGUGGAUGGAGUGAGGACAUGCCCGUGUGUACAUCUGGACUGUGAGUCUCACCAGAAGAGUUGUCAGUUAUAGAGAUUCUUAUCCUGAGCAAACAAUUUUAAGCAGAUCAUAUCAAAUUCCUUAAGAUUACUCAGUAUUUUAAAGGAAAUAUUGGGGGGGUUCUCUUUAUUUCGUGAGUUGUUUGGUGAUGGAAGGAGAUGCGGUGUGCAGCUACAGCAGCCACUUUUUCAAGUGCUAUUCUGCAAUGAAAAGGGUUAUAGAUGUCCUCUCUACUUUUUCAAAAAUGAUGGCACUCUUCUUUAGAAUAAUAUGAAACAAUUAAAUAAUAGUUAAAACAAUAAUAAUUAAAACAAUUUAAAAAGAAAAAUAAGUCAAAUACUGUGAGAAUUGCCUAGAUUAGAGAAACUUGGCAAUACUGCAAUGUCCCAGUAAUAAGUCUAUGCCUCUGUGUGAAAGCCCCACUAGAAGCUUUCCCAUUUAGACAAGACACACAUUCAUAAGCAAUGUAUAGGGUGCUCUGCAUACAAAAUUGUGUACAAGACAUUACAGACUGGCUCAGAAGUUAAGCCUGAAUCAUACGGCAAUAAACAGAUCCCAUUGAUUUGAAGGCCAGAAGGUAUCAUCCCACCCAACUGUCUGCAUAACCCAGACUACUCACUCAUUGUAACUUUUUACUGAGACUCAAAACACUGAUGCAGAAUCCAAGCAUAAUCCUUUCUUCAGGAAUUAGCCAAAUUAGUCACAGCAUCUACUGUGUUGACAAAGAACUUCAACGGAAAAAACACAGCACCACAAAAACACACAAAACACGAAGGCUGAGCAGCUGAACAAAGCUUUAAGCCUUGCUGAUCACUUCUUGUUGCAAAAAGGGAACUGAUAAACUGUAACAACAAAGACAGACAAAAAAAAAAAAUGGCCUAAGAGAGUAUAGGUUGUGAAUAGAUACCUCUUUGUGUAAAACAGAGCUCUUAAAAUGUUAUGGUUUUUAUACUUAUCAUAUGCUUCUGGCAUUAUUGCUUUCAAUAGUAACAGUAACAGUAGUAAUGAACCAGAAGGUACGAAAAUCCAAGUUUUUUUUCUCUUAAGAACACUGAAAAACUGGGAACUUAGAAAGUUUCUGUUUAUUAAAAAGCCUAGCAGUGGUCAGACAAAAGAUGUGUUACAUCUCCCACGUGUGGCAGAAGGCACUACAGGGUAAGCAGAUUUGCUGGAUUUAUUCCUUAUGUUGGAGGAUGCUAUUACAAGGCCUUAAGGCCCUUUUCAGUUGCCAGCAUUAGAGUAAAAAUAAAUGUGUAUAUUCUGUCCAGCCUCAUGGCACUGGCAUGUACCUCACCAUAUGGAAAUAUCAGGGUGAACAGUAUUUCAAGCUGCGAGUCUAAUGCUGACCACAUAUCAAAUGCAAUGUUAGUCUUGACUGGUGUAGCGUCUUUUUGGCAAGAGAGCAGAUGUGCAAUGUAGUAUUUUUAGAGCCUGAACCUGUGUUAGCACACAGCCUUUGAGGAGUCUCA